ACAAUAACGCUAGCUUAAUUAUAAUUAUAAAUUAAUAACUAAACUAAAACAUUUAACUAUCAUAGUAUAGGCGAUAAAAAAGAUAUUUAAAGCCAUAGAAAUAGUACCGCAAGGAAAAGCUGAAAAAGAAAUUAAAUAAACCAUAAAAGUAAAAUAAAGCAAGAAUUAACUUCUGUACCUUUUGCAUCAUGGUCUAACUAGUCAUUAUAGAGCAAAAAGAAUUUAAGUCCUAAUACCCGAAACUAGACGAGCUAUUUAAAAGCAGCUUAACAUUAGAGCUUAUCCGUCUCUGUAGCAAAAGAGUGGAAAGACUUUUAAAUAGAGGCAAAACACCUAACGAGCCUAGUGAUAGCUGGUUGCUUGAUAAACGAGUUGUAGCUCCGCUUUAAAUUAUUCUUUUAAUACCAAACAAUAAAAAUAUAAAUUUAAAAGUUAUUCAAAAGGGGAACAGCCCUUAUGAAAAAGGAUACAACCUAUAACAUUAGGUAAUGAUUAUAAUUCUUAAGGCUAAAAUCACUAGUGGGCCUAAAAGCAGCCAUCUAUAAUAAAAGCGUCACAGCUUAACCUUAAUAUAACCCUAAAUACCAAUAAUUAUUCAAAACCUUAAAAACUAAACAAGCUUCACUAUAAACCUUAUAGUAAAAUUAAUGUUAGAAUUAGUAAUAAGAAAAUACGAUUUUCUCUAUUCCACAUGUGUAUAUCAGCAUGAACAAUUCACUGGUAAUUAUCAAUCCUAAUCAAAAACUUUUUCACCUGAAACACAAUUUACAAUUAUUGUUAAUCCUACACAGGAGUGGAAACGAAAGAUUUAAAAAUAAAAAAGGAAUUCAGCAAACACAAGCUUCGCCUGUUUACCAAAAACAUCACCUCUAGCUAAGUACACAAAUAUUAGAGGCAAUGCCUGCCCAGUGAAAAUUUUUAACGGCCGCGGUAUUCCGACCGUGCAAAGGUAGCAUAAUCACUUGUCUUUUAAAUCAAGACUAGUAUGAAUGGCAAAACGAAAGCUUAACUGUCUCCUUUAUUUAAUCAAUGAAAUUGAACUUCUUGUACAAAAGCAAGAAUACACAAAUAAGACGAGAAGACCCUAUGGAACUUAAACCACACUACCAAUUUAAUUUAUAAAAUCUUAAACACUGGAUCUGUUGGUUUUGGUUGGGGUGACCACGGAGCAAAACAAUCCUCCGAGAUAAUAUAACUAAGAUACACAUAACAAAGUAUUAAAAACUUAAAACCUUGACCCAAUACAUUUGAUAAACGAACCAAGCUACCCUAGGGAUAACAGCGCAAUCUUCUUUAAGAGUCCAUAUCACCAAGAAGGUUUACGACCUCGAUGUUGGAUCAGGAUAUCCAAACAGUGCAGCCGCUGUUAAUGGUUUGUUUGUUCAACAAUUAAAAUCCUACGUGAUCUGAGUUCAGACCGGAGUAAUCCAGGUCAGUUUCUAUCUAUUAAAUUAUUCUUUUUAAUACGAAAGGACCAAAAGAAUAGGACCUAUGCUACAAGUAUGUCCUCAUAAAUCUUAUGAAUUCAACUCAAGAAUAUCAUAAUACUAACCCCUAAAUAAGGGGUUU
rnacentral:rRNA from 1 species